rnacentral:rRNA from 1 species
UACGUAGGGUGCGAGCGUUAAUCGGAAUUACUGGGCGUAAAGCGUGCGCAGGCGGUUCGUUAAGUUCGUUGUGAAAGCCCCGGGCUCAACCUGGGAAUUGCAUUCGAGACUGCAUUGCUGGAGUACGGAAGAGGAGGGCGGAAUUCCCGGUGUAGCGAUGAAAUGCGUAGAUAUCGGGAGGAACAUCAGUGGCGAAGGCGGCCCUCUGGUCCAGUACUGACACUCAAGUGCGAAAGCGUGGGGAGCAAACAGG